UGGGGAAUAUUGGACAAUGGGCGCAAGCCUGAUCCAGCAAUGCCGCGUGUGUGAAGAAGGCCUUCGGGUUGUAAAGCACUUUUAUCAGGAGCGAAACGCUGUCGGCUAAUACCCGGCGGAACUGACGGUACCUGAGGAAUAAGCACCGGCUAACUUCGUGCCAGCAGCCGCGGUAAUACGAAGGGUGCAAGCGUUAAUCGGAAUUACUGGGCGUAAAGCGUGCGUAGGCGGUUUCUUAAGUCUGCUGUGAAAUCCCCGGGCUCAACCUGGGAAUGGCAGUGGAUACUGGGAGGCUAGAGUGUGUCAGAGGGUGGUGGAAUUCCCGGUGUAGCGGUGAAAUGCGUAGAGAUCGGGAGGAACAUCAGUGGCGAAGGCGGCCACCUGGGACAACACUGACGCUGAGGCACGAAAGCGUGGGGAGCAAACAGGAUUAGAUACCCUGGUAGUCCACGCCCUAAAGCGAUGCGAACUGGAUGUUGGUCUCAACUCGGAGAUCAGUGUCGAAGCUAACGCGUUAAGUUCGCCGCCUGGGGAGUACGGUCGCAAGACUGAAACUUAAAUGAAUUGACGGGGUCAUAGUUGUUUCC
rnacentral:rRNA from 1 species